AUUGAACGCUGGCGGCAUGCUUUACACAUGCAAGUCGAACGGUAACAGGCCGCAAGGUGCUGACGAGUGGCGAACGGGUGAGUAAUGCAUCGGAACGUGCCCAGUCGUGGGGGAUAACGCAGCGAAAGCUGCGCUAAUACCGCAUACGAUCUCUGGAUGAGAGCGGGGGACCGAAAGGCCUCGCGCGAUUGGAGCGGCCGAUGUCAGAUUAGUUAGUUGGUGGGGUAAAGGCCCACCAAGCCAACGAUCUGUAGCUGGUCUGAGAAGACGACCAUCCACACUGGUACUGAGACACGGCCCAGAGUCCUGCGGGAGGAAGCAGUGGGGAAUUUUGGACAAUAGGCGCAAGCCUGAUCCAGCAAUGCCGCGUGCAGGAAGAAGGCCUUCGGGUUGUAAACUGCUUUUGUACGGAACGAAACGGUCCUGGUUAAUACCUGGGGCUAAUGACGGUACCGUAAGAAUAAGCACCGGCUAACUACGUGCCAGCAGCCGCCGUAAAAC
rnacentral:rRNA from 1 species